GACGAACGCUGGCGGCGUGCUUAACACAUGCAAGUCGAACGGAAAGGCCCUGCUUUUGUGGUGUGCUCGAGUGGCGAACGGGUGAGUAACACGUGAGUAACCUGCCCUUGACUUUGGGAUAACUUCAGGAAACUGGGGCUAAUACCGGAUAGGAGCUCCUGCUGCAUGGUGGGGGUUGGAAAGUUUCGGCGGUUGGGGAUGGACUCGCGGCUUAUCAGAUUGUUGGUGGGGUAGUGGCUUACCAAGGCUUUGACGGGUAGCCGGCCUGAGAGGGUGACCGGCCACAUUGGGAGUGAGAUACGGCCCAGACUUCUACGGGAGGCAGUAGUGGGGAAUAUUGCACAAUGGGCGGAAGCCUGAUGCAGCAACGCCGCGUGCGGGAUGACGGCCUUCGGGUUGUAACCCGCUUUCGCCUGUGACGAAGCGUGAGUGACGGUAAUGGGUAAAGAAGCACCGGCUAACUACGGG
rnacentral:rRNA from 1 species